rnacentral:rRNA from 1 species
CACUGAGUGGUAACAUUUAUGUUAGCUGUCCACCUGUGUAAAUAGCAUGUGAUAGCAAGGGCUGGGC